rnacentral:rRNA from 1 species
AUACGGAGGAUCCGAGCAUUAUCCGGAUUUAUUGGGUUUAAAGGGUGCGCAGGCGGCCAUUUAAGUCAGCGGUUAAAUCGUGGGGCUCAACCCCAUUCUGCCGUUGAUACUGGGUGGCUUGAUUGCGGUCGAGGUUGGCGGAAUUCGUUGUGUAGCGGUGAAAUGCAUAGAUAUGACGAAGAACACCGAUUGCGUAGGCAGCUGACCAGACCGCAAAUGACGCUCAUGCACGAAAGUGCGGGGAUCGAACAGGAUUAGAUACCCUGGUAGUCCGCACAGUAAACGAUGAAUACUUGUUUUCGGCGAUAUAAUGUCGGAGGCAAAGCGAAAGCGAUAAGUAUUCCACCUGGGGAGUACGCCGGCAACGGUGAAACUCAAAUGAAUUGACGGGG